rnacentral:rRNA from 1 species
GAUGAACGCUGGCGGCGUGCCUAAUACAUGCAAGUCGAGCGAACAGACGAGGAGCUUGCUCCUCUGACGUUAGCGGCGGACGGGUGAGUAACACGUGGAUAACCUACCUAUAAGACUGGGAUAACUUCGGGAAACCGGAGCUAAUACCGGAUAAUAUAUUGAACCGCAUGGUUCAAUAGUGAAAGACGGUUUUGCUGUCACUUAUAGAUGGAUCCGCGCCGCAUUAGCUAGUUGGUAAGGUAACGGCUUACCAAGGCGACGAUGCGUAGCCGACCUGAGAGGGGGAUGGGCCACACUGGAACUGAGAACCGGCCCAGCCUCCUACGGGAGGCAGCAGGAGGGAAUCUUCCGAAAGGGGGGAAAGCCUGACGGAGAAACGCCGGGGGAGUGAUGAAGGUUUUCGGAUCGAAAAACUCUGUUAUUAGGGAAAAACAAAUGUGUAAGUAACUAUGCACGUCUUGACGGUACCUAAUCAGAAAGCCCCGGCUAAUUACGG